UGAAGAAACACCAAGUGCUGUGGUGUUUUGUUCUUUCAUACCGUAGAUAAAAAAUUAACUUUGUUGACAUUAAAAGUGCAAAGGUUUUAAUUGAUAAUAAUAUUUUAUAUUUUUUAUUAUUUUAUUAUUCCAACGCAAAACACUUGAUAUUUCGUUGUGUCUAUUUUAAAACCGUGUUGAAUAUUUGAGUUACUAUGACUGGAGACGCUGAUACAUUUAUACCUACCUUUUACUCCCAUCGAAGUGUGUUUAUUACUGGUGGCACAGGUUUCCUGGGUAAAGCGUUAUGUGAAAAAUUACUGAGAUCUUGUCCGGAUAUUGAAGAAAUAUUUUUAUUGAUACGACCGAAAAAAGGAUUGACCAUCACCGACAGAGUUAAGAAAAUGUUGAAUAACAAGCUUUUUGAUUUAUUACGGCGCGAACGGCCAUCCAGUUUCGAGAAAAUCAUUCCUAUAAGUGGAAACGUGAGUGCUAAAGAUUUAGGAUUAUUGCCAGAGGACAGGAAAAUGUUAAGUGAAAAAGUCUCGAUAAUAUUCCACGUAGCGGCUUCUGUCCGCUUUGACGAGAGUCUUAAAGAUGCGAUUUUCACAAACUUACGGUCAACGCAUGACGUUUGUCUUUUGGCCCAAUCUAUGAAAAAUAUAGUGGCUCUGCUUCAUGUGAGCUCGACGUACACACAAAGCGAUAAACCCAUCGUGGACGAGGUCUUGUAUCCUUUGGAGAAUGUUGACUGGAGAAAAACGAUCAAAAUCGCUGAGACCAUUGACGAUGAGAUUUUAAAGAUUUUUACAGCGAAAUAUAUUGGAACAAUGGCAAAUACUUAUGUUUUUACGAAAAGACUAGCCGAGCAAGUGAUAAAUGACUUUUCCGAGUCACUGCCUUGUAUUAUCCUUAGACCAUCUAUUGUCGUACCAUCAGUCAAUGAUCCUGUGCCAGGCUGGAUUGACAAUUUUAACGGACCCAUGGGCUUGCUUACUGCUGGUGGAGCCGGAGUUUUACGUGUGGUUCACUUGGAUUCUAAUGUACUUUCCGAUUUUAUUCCGGUAGAUAUAGUGAUUAAAGCAAUGAUUAUCGCAGCUUGGAAACGCGGAAUGAAAAACAUCUCCGAGAAUAAUAAUCUUCACAUUUACAAUUGCUCUGUAAACACCAUGAAUACCAUAAGUAUCGGAAAGUUAAUACGCGCAGGAUUUCGUGCCGUAUAUGAUAUUCCUUUUGAGCGAACAAUUUGGAAACCACAGACGAUUAUGACAAAUAGUGGAUUGUUAUAUUACAUAUUGGUAUUAGUUUUACAUAUUGUUCCGGCAUUAUUAAUAGAUGCUGUGUUGAAAAUAUUACGUUUACGUCCGAUGUUACUGAAGUUGCAACGAAGAAUAUAUAUGUCAAACCGUGCAUUGUCCUUUUUUGCAACUCAUUUCUGGCAGUUUACUAACACAAAUUUAAUAAACAUCUUCGAGAAUCUGAGCGCUGCUAAUGAAAAAGAUUUUGGAUAUAAAAAUAGUGUAAAUUGUGGCACAGAAGAAUAUAUCAGACAUGGCAUUAUUGGUUCUAAACUCUACUUGCUCAAUGAAGAUAUGAGUCGCUUAGAACAACUCAAACGUUAUCGUAAAAAAUUGGACUGGCUUCAUGAAAGUAUCAAACUGUUGUUUGUGAUUAUGCUAUGCUACAUCUUAUAUUCACGUUUAUGAUUGCACAAUAGGUAAAUUAGUGUAUAAAUCAAGAAAGUAAGUUUUGUUUAUUUUUUGAGAUAGGUGAAAGUUAUUUGAUAAAAGUGAAUGUUUAAAUUAGUUUGUAAUACUGGGCAAAUAUAUUGUAAGAAUCACGUAAAUCUGUGAGUAUAAAACUUCGAAAUAAGUUUCGCUGGUUAAAACAAUACAAGAAUGAUACGAUAUAACAUAAGUGUAUACUUUACAGAAUGUUUCACUGACUUGUAUUUCUUCAAUUACCAACAUCAAAAAAACAUUCGGUUAAUAUCACUUUAACUAGUGUAUUUUGAACAUUAGAUAUCUACAUGAAUACAUACUGCAAUAUACAAGGUAUUAAUCGCUCUCUUAAAGAUUUAAGAUUUUUUUUUAUUGCAUAAUCGCGAUACUAUUUCUCAGUAGCAAUGGUUGAUUAUGUGAACGGCAUCGAUAACAAACUUCGGAGCGAGGAAACGUAAGCAGAUAAAUAUAUGAAAAAACUAUGUGUGGGAGUGUAUAUGUUAUUCUGUUGCUCAGAAGAGAAUCUUUCUUUUGUGAUUUCGGACAUAUUUUUUCUAUAAUUUAACUAGGAAAACGAGAUUGCAACUUGCUUAUCUUUCAAAGUUUUUUUAUUGUAGUGGAAUCCGAUUGUAGAAAAACGUUUUGUGUAAUCGGUCAUUCGUGCGCGAUUUUCAAGAAAUUUUGUUUUUGCGCGUUUACCGGUAUCACGAUAUUAUACAUCAAACGUUCUGAAUAUUGAAUAUAUUAUGAGUUAAAAUCACACACACACACACACACAUGCACAUAAAUAAAUGUUAAAUACAAUAUGUAAGUGUAAAGUAGACUGCUUUUCGAACUUUUAGAAUAUUGCGUAUCAUGAAAGAAAUUCUUCAUUAUUUUCUGUAAACGACUUCAUUAUUUCCUAUAAAUAAGCCGAUUAUUCAGUUAGACUCAUUUACGUACAAAUACUUUGACAGAAAAGGACGCGAAUAGGUUAGAUCACAUCAACAUUUGUAAGUUGCUGACUAUCCACCUAUUUGAAACUUCUUAGUAUCUAUCACAUACUACUUUAUAAACGUUAUAAAUAUUUUAGUUAAUAUGAGUAAAUGUAUGGUUUCCUGGGUAAAGCGUUAUGUGAAACAUUACUGAGAAGUUGUCUGGAUAUUAAAAAAAUAUUCUUACUGAUACGACCGAAAAAAGGAGUAACUAUCAACGACAGGUUAAAGGAAAUGUUGAAAAACAAGCUUUUUGAUUUAUUACGGCGCGAACGGCCAUCCAGUUUCGAUAAAAUUCCUAUAAGUGGGAACGUGAGUACUAAAGAUUUAGGAUUAUUGCCAGAAGACAAAAAAAUGUUAAGUAAAAAAGUCCCGAUAAUAUUCCACGUAGUGGCUUCUGUCCGCUUUGACGAAAGUCUUAAAGAUGCGAUUUUCACAAACUUGCGAUCAACGCGCGUGACGCUUGUAUUGUGGCUCAAUCUAUGAAACAUAGUGAUGAGUGUUUUUUAUCGAUUUAUAUUGUUUCGCAAGUAUAUUUUUCUCAAUAACUUUGUGUGCUGGACAACAUUCUAAUUCUAACCGUUAUAUUUAAUUUACAUAAUCGAAAUAGGCUUUAGUUUACGUAAGCUCGGCAGUUACACAGUGUGAUAAACUCGUCGUAGACGCGGUUUUUUAUCCUUUGGAAAAUGUCGCGUGGAAAAAGACGAUCCACAUUGCUGAGAAUACUGACAACGAAAUUUUAAAAGUUUUUACCGCGAAUAAAAUAUGUUCUUGUUACUUAAUUGUUGCAGAUAUAUACAUCCCAUGACCAGUACGUACGUCAUUACAAAACGCCUAGCAAAAAAUGUUAUAAAGGAUGUUUCUGAAUCGUUGCCUUGCGUUUUUAUUAGACUUUCAAUUGUAGUACCUUCACUUAGCGAUCCGAUUACGCUAUCCUUUGUAAUUAGGUCGCAUUUCACAGCGUGGAGCUUUCACGAGGAAUCUUUUAAAAUAUCAGCGAUUUCUCUUAUUCUCUUCGCUCUUCUCGCAAAGCCAUUAACGUACCUGAUGAAAUGUGUACAAAACCGAUUAGUAUUACUUCGUAGAAUAAACCCAUUGUAUCAGAAAUCAUCUCGACUGGACUCGAACUUGGAAUCUGGAACUCUUUGAUUACCGGCGGACACUCUAACAAUUCAGCCAUUGAAGCUUUCAAAAUCAUUUACUGAUAUUAGUACUGAUUCUAAGUAAAUCAAUGUGUUCCUAAGUAAAUCAGCGAAAUUUUAACUGAAGUAAAACUAAUUUAUUGUAUUACUGACACCUAACUCUUUAAUAGAGUUCAGUUUGGCCAAUAUUUAAUCGCUUUUCUG